rnacentral:rRNA from 1 species
GACGUUACCUACAGAAGAAGCACCGGCUAACUCCGUGCCAGCAGCCGCGGUAAUACGGAGGGUGCGAGCGUUAAUCGGAAUUACUGGGCGUAAAGCGCAUGCAGGCGGCCUGUUAAGUCAGAUGUGAAAGACCCGGGGCCGUUAACCUACCGGAAGUUGCAUUUAGUAAACUAGGCGAGGCUAGAGUCUUGUAGAGGGGGGUAGGAAUUUCAGGUGUAGCGGUGAAAUGCGUAGAGAUCUGAAGGAAUACCAGUGGCGAAGGCGGCCCCCUCGGACAAAGACUGACGCUCAGAUGCGAAAGCGUGGGGAGCAAACAGGAUUAGAUACCCUGGUAG